AUUGUCUUGUAAUUGGAAUGAUGGUGACGUAAAAUCUCACCAGAGUAACAAUUGGAGGGCAAGUCUGGUGCCAGCAGCCGCGGUAAUUCCAGCUCCAAUAGCGUAUAUUAAACUUGUUGCAGUUAAAAAGCUCGUAGUUGAAUUUCUGCGUUGCCCGACUCGGCUACUUGCCUUGUCUGGUUUCGCUUUUGGGGUUUUCCCCUUUUUACUUUGAGAAAAUUAGAGUGUUUCAAGCAGACUUGUGUCUUGAAUACUUCAGCAUGGAAUAAUAAAGUAGGACUUUGGUUCUAUUUUGUUGGUU
rnacentral:rRNA from 1 species